rnacentral:rRNA from 1 species
GAUCAUGGCUCAGGAUGAACGCUAGCUACAGGCUUAACACAUGCAAGUCGGAGGGGAAACGACAUCGAAAGCUUGCUUUUGAUGGGCGUCGACCGGCGCACGGGUGAGUAACGCGUAUCCAACCUGCCCAUCACUUGGGAAUAACCUUGCGAAAGAAAGAUUAAUACCGGGUAGUAUCGAGAGAUUGCAUGAUUACCCGAUUAAAGAUUCAUCGGUAACGGAUGGGGAUGCGUUCCAUUAGGCUAGG